rnacentral:rRNA from 1 species
UACGUAGGGACCGAGCGUUGUCCGGAUUCAUUGGGCGUAAAGAGCUCGUAGGCGGCUGCUCAAGUCGAAUGUGAAAACUCGGGGCUCAACCUCGAGCCUGCAUUCGAUACUGGGCGGCUAGAGUCUGGUAGGGGGAUCUGGAAUUUACGGUGUAGCGGUGAAAUGCGUAGAUAUCGUAAGGAAGACCAGUGGCGAAGGCGGGUUUCUGGACAGUUCCUGACGCUGAGGCACGAAGGUCAGGGGAGCAAACGGG